rnacentral:rRNA from 1 species
UACGUAGGCAGCGAGCGUUGUUCGGAGUUACUGGGCGUAAAGGGUGUGUAGGCGGUUGUUUAAGUUUGGUGUGCAAUCUCCCGGCUCAACUGGGAGGGUGCGCCGAAUACUGAAUGACUUCGAGUGCGGGAGAGGAGAGUGGAAUUCCUGGUGUAGCGGUGAACUGCGUAGAUAUCAGGAGGAACACCGGUGGUGUAGACGGCUCUCUGGACCGUAACUGACGCUGAGACACGAAAGCGUGGGUAGCAAACAGG